rnacentral:rRNA from 1 species
AGUGAACGCUGGCGGUAGGCCUAACACAUGCAAGUCGAACGGCAGCACAGUAAGAGCUUGCUCUUACGGGUGGCGAGUGGCGGAUGGGUGAGGAAUACAUCGGAAGCUACUUUUUCGUGGGGGAUAACGGAGGGAAACUUACGCUAAUACCGCAUACGACCUAAGGGUGAAAGCAGGGUAUCUUAGUACCUUGCGCGAUUGAAUGAGCCGAUGUCGGAUUAGCUAGUUGGCGGGGUAAAGGCCCACCAAGGCGACGAUCCGUAGCUGGUCUGCGAGGAUGACGAGCCACACUGGACCUGAGACACGGCCCAGCCUCCGACGGGAGGCAGCGGUGGGGAAUAUUGGACAAUGGGCGCAAGCCUGAUCCGCCCAUACCGCGUGGGUGAGGAAGGCCUUCGGGUGUUAAAGCCUUUUUGUUGAGAAAGAAAAGCAGCAGGUUAAUACCCCGCUGUUCUGACGGUACCCAAAGAAUAAGCACCGGCUAACUUCGUG